CAAUAGCGUAUAUUAAAGUUGUUGCGGUUAAAAGCUCGUAGUUGGAUUUCUGCCGAGGACGAUCGGUCCGCCCUCUGGGUGAGCAUUGACUCGGCCUUGGCAUCUUCUUGGAGAACGCUACUGCACUUGACUGUGUGGUGCGGUAUCCAGGACUUUUACUUUGAGGAAAUUAGAGUGUUUCAAGCAGGCGCACGCCUUGAAUACAUUAGCAUGGAAUAAUAGGAUAGGACCUUGGUUCUAUUUUGUUGGUUUCUAGAGCUGAGGUAAUGAUUAAUAGGGAUAGUUGGGGGUAGUUCAUAUUCAAUUGUCAGAGGUGAAAUUACUUGGAUUAUGGAAGAUGAACUACUGCGAAAGCAUUUACCAAGGAUGUUUUCUAUUAAUUCAAGAACGAAAGUUAAGGGGAGUCGAAGACGAUCAGA
rnacentral:rRNA from 1 species